rnacentral:rRNA from 1 species
GUGAGUCAUCGAGUCUUUGAACGCACCUUGCGCCCUUUGGUAUUCCGAAGGGCAUGCCUGUUUGAGUGUCAUGAAAACCUCAAUCCCUCGGGUUUUAACUAACCCGUUGGACUUGGAUUUGGGUGUUGCCGCGGCUCACGCCGUCGGCUCGCCUUAAAAGUGUUAGUGGGACGAUGAACACCCGUCAGCCUGGCGUAAUAAGUUUCGCUGGGCCUCUGGGGUCGUUUGACGGCUUGCUCAUAACAACCAACUUUCUAUGACUCUGACCUCAAAUCAGGUAGGGCUACCCGCUGAACUUAA